rnacentral:rRNA from 1 species
UACAGAGGUCUCGAGCGUUAGGCGGAAUCACUGGGCUUAAAGCGUGUGUAGGCGGAUCGUUAAGUACCUUGUGAAAUCCCACGGCUUAACCGUGGAACUGCUUGGUAUACUGGCGGUCUUGAGCCAGCUAGGGGCUACCGGAACAAAUGGUGGAGCGGUGAAAUGCGUAGAUAUCAUUUGGAACGCCAAUGGUGAAAACAGGUAGCUGGGGCUGUGCUGACGCUGGAGAACACGAAAGCCAGGGGAGCAAACGGG